CCUACGGGUGGCAGCAGUGAGGAAUAUUGGUCAAUGGGCGCGAGCCUGAACCAGCCAAGUAGCGUGAAGGAUGACUGCCCUAUGGGUUGUAAACUUCUUUUAUAAGGGAAUAAAGUGCGGCACGUGUGCCUUUUUGUAUGUACUUUAUGAAUAAGGAUCGGCUAACUCCGUGCCAGCAGCCGCGGUAAUACGGAGGAUCCGAGCGUUAUCCGGAUUUAUUGGGUUUAAAGGGAGCGUAGAUGGGAUGUUAAGUCAGUUGUGAAAGUGUGCGGCUCAACCGUAACAUUGCAGUUGAUACUGGCUGUCUUGAGUGCAGGUGAGGUAGGCGGAAUUCGUGGUGUAGCGGUGAAAUGCUUAGAUAUCACGAAGAACUCCGAUUGCGAAGGCAGCUUACGAAACUGCCACUGACGUUGAUGCUCGAAAGUGUGGGUAUCAAACAGGAUUAGAUACCCCAGUAGUC
rnacentral:rRNA from 1 species